UUUCAAGAAAUUAAGAAUUGGUUUGUUACUACUCCAGUGCUAGCUCUUCCUAGUAGUUCUGGAGGUUAUCUAAUGUAUACAGAUGCUUCAUAUUUGGACUUAGUUGUAUUUUAAUCCAGUAUGGUAAGGUCAUCGCUUAUAGGUCAUGAAAAUUGAAGAACUAUGAGCAAAGUUAUCUAACUCAUGAUAUAAAAUUGGCUGCUAUUGUAUUU
rnacentral:lncRNA from 1 species